ACGAGGAUUUUUCAAGAUGGAUAGCCCUAGCCCCACUUCAGAGAUGGGAAAACCAAGGCCAGGAAGCCUAGGUUAGGACCACAAAGAAAUAAAAUAGUGGAACUGGAAUUUGAAGUCUGACACUUGUGACUCCAAAGCCUGCUCUCUCUCUUUCUCUCUCUGGAGCCUAGGAAUGAAACGACACGAGUGUGACUGCAGGCCAACAGACACGGACCAAGUGCUGUUGUCAUGCAGUGAAGCAAGCCCUUGGAGACCAGCUCAGCCAAAACACACAGUCUGGGGUCAAGACUUGUCCUCCCCUGGGCAAGAAAUGGAGUUCUUGCCAUGUCCACACUGUUUGCUCAAGUGGUUUUUUCCCCAGAGAUGACUGCUUGCUUGUUUUCAAUUUCCACUGUGACACAAUAAAGAAAGCUCUAAAUGAAUGUUAGAAAAUGUUUUCAGGAAGCAGAACACAGUCAGUGCAACGUGGUGAUCUUGGUGGUAGUGAGUGACCUCACAGGAAGCCAUUCUUUCUUUCUUUUUUUUUUUUUUUAAAGAGAGAGAGGGAGUGUGCGCAAGUACUGUGAGUGAGGGGGCAGGGAGAGGGAGGGAAUCCCAAGCAGACUCCCGCUGAGGGCGGAGCUUGAAGCACCUCGAUCCCCAGCCCUGAGAUCAUGACCUGAACCGAAAUUGAGAGUUGGACCUUUAACCGACUGAGCCACCUUGGUGCUCCUCACAGGAACGCAUUCUUAUUGGAAAUUUCUUCAGUUCCAACUCUUCCAGCUUCUGGAUGACUCCUCCAAGAACGGCACCUCAGCGGCCCUCCUGAUGAAGUCCUGCCGGAUACCUUUCCUCUGAUUGGGAGGAACCCCAUCUUGGCUCCUGCCUGCAGGCAGUUGGGGUAGUACAACCCAAGGGACUAGUGGGAUUUGUGCCCAAGCCAGAGCCAUCUGCCCCCCAGCAUGCAGGUGUGCGACUUCUGAAUGACCCACUGCCCUGAGACAGACAGCUCCUGGGCCUCUGCACCCUCCCCUCCGUCUUCCCGAGAAGCCAGCUCCCUCAAGCCUGGACUACUUCCUAGAGUCUCUCUGCUUACUUGGUUUGGUGGGGGAGAGCCGGGGGCAGCCUGCAAGUUCUCCUGGGGAGAAGGAACGCUAGGCCACACAGCCCUUCCGCCGCAGGCAACCGUACAUGGAAUUUUCCCCGACGUCUGUGCUGUUCUCAAGUUUCCCGACCUGCUCACCCGUGCUUGGAGUUGGUUUUCCAGCUCAGAGAAAAUACUCAGAGCUGCUGGGCCACCAGUUUAGCCUUGAGGCUGUGACUAAAUAAAUAAGAAGGACAGCACCCCCCCCCCCAAACUGGAUCAGUUUAUUUUCAAAGAAAGGGCUUUCCGCACAUGUCCCCACGGAGCCAACAGGAAGGACUGUGGGCAGCGGACUGCCGUAGCCACACACGGGCAGCUGCAGGACCCUCUCCCUGACCUGUUUAAGUCAUGCCGUGAUUGAUGAUGGCAAUGGAAAAAUAGCAACUGCAGAUGGGCAGGCAGCGGGAUAAGCAAAAAACAAUAGUGCUGCUGCUGGCACCUGUCCCUGGCUGAGGUGGACGAGGCACUCUAAGUCGUCUGGUGAUGAAAAACGUGGGUUUGGGAGGUGGACAGUUUGAGUUCCAAUCCCACCCGCAUCCCUGCCAGGCUGGAUGUUACUUCAUCUACCCAUCCCAAGCAGCAUGAGACUUUUGGCCCAAAGACAGUGAGCAAAGGAACAUCUGUGCUUCUUUAAAGAUGUGUCACCUCAUCCCUGCUCUACAUGAUCAAAACUGAUGAAAGUCAACUCUCAACAGUACAACUUAUAUGAAAAGAUGUUCUACAACUGCAACCUAGAUUUCUUAUCACCAACAGCUACACUCUCAAAUCUCAGCCUACUGCAAACCGCUCUCAUCAGUCCAAAUGACCUGUUAAAAUUGAGCCCUGUUGAAGCAUCAUAGACUUGUACCUAUCUGAUAAACCACUGUGUUUCUUUGAAGAAGAGAAAAAAAAAGAAAAAGAAAAAAGUGAUCUUGAACUUGGACAGGUGAAAUACCUGACUUGAAAGCAGAGGAAAUAGGAACCCCACUACACUGAACUACAUCAUGGAGAAUCUAUGGUCCCAUGAGUAAAGAGCAAGCCCAGUCUGGAAUUUGCAAAAGGAUUCACCCAGCUCAAUUUUAGGAGUGCCAGUGGGACCCAAGGAAACUUUCCAUGCUGUUUUCCUGCAGAUGCCUCCUUAUCCUGGAAGCAGACACCCUGGAGUCAUUAAACAUUCCGAUCACUGGAGUUGACUACAAGAGAUCUAGUUCUUUGCCUACCAAGAACGGAAAAGACUUUCAUCACUAGUGGAAGUAGAGGAGACAACCCGCCUGCUUUGGAAUCUUGACUCCAUUCCUGUUUGGCUAUGAGACUUUGGGUAUUGAUGUGAUUUGGAAUUCUGGGGUCCAGAGCUGAUGGCCAAGAAAGAAUUCUUAGGAUGUCUUUGGUGCAAAAAGGUGACUUUAUUGAAGCAUGGGGUCAGGACACUUGGGUGGAUAGAACUGCUGCCCCAGGACUGUAAGAAGCAACUGAUUUUAUACUUUGCGGCUGGAGGAAGGAAAGAUAAAGGGAAGUUUCCACAAGGAUUUUCAAAUGCUAAAGAACACUCACAGGAUCCCAGAGGCCUAGCUAGUGUCAAGCCAGUGUUGUUUUUCCCUCUAGGAAAGCAUCAGCAGACAGCUGGGAGCUUCCUGGAGGAAUGUUACACUCCACCUGCCUCACUGGGUGGCAGGUUAUAAGGAAAUUUAAUUUUAUCCGCAUUUCUUUCUGCCUUUGUUUUCCCCAUCAGGUAUCUUUCUUAGGUCUUGAUUUUUUUGCUUGCAAGAAAAUACGGAAUUUUGUGAUUUUUCAACAAUGAUAUUUGUAUCUUUAAUAUCAAUGUCACAAUAUUCCUUUUCUGUCACCUCAAACAUACAUUUUAACUUUUGUUUCAAUUGGAAUCACAGUGCUACCUUUUUAAAAGAUACCGGAGGAAGCCAAGGACACUCAGCACAUAUACAAACAACUAAGCACAUUGUCAGUUGAAGUGACAAUAAUGUGGGCAUCCGCAGUUGAAUUCACACAAGAACAAAGAACAACAUUUACCUCACAGAUGCUCCCUGGUCAACAGGGACUACAAAUUGUUCUCUUGUUUUGGGUUGCUCUGAGCCUCUUGAAAAUGAUGCAGUCAAGGUUGAAAUGCUAGGGGAACACUCGCCUGGCUCAUACUCAUUUGAGCCCUCACAGGCAUGUCCCAAUUGGAGAUAAUUCUCUUCCUGGACUAACCCUUGUAGUUCUUACGAUUGCAGAACACACCUCAACAACACGCAUCAGGGCGCUUUGAAACAAGGUUCAUUACUCACAAGUCGUAGAAGGUGGAUAGCACACCCAGGGCCGCAGAGUAAGGUAGCACUAAGAGAGAGAGAGGUAAAGAGAGAAAGAAUGAGACAGAGAGACGGACCUAGGGUUUCCCAGGUUCACUAUUAAUUGGUGAAUUUAAAACACAAGAGUGGGAAGUAAGCCUGGAGAAGGGAAAGCAGGGUUACUCAGACUGAGCUUUUUAAAAGGGGAAACUCGAUGGGUGGGGAGGCCUGGCCCUUUAUCGAGUUGUGUAGCUGCCAAUGUGUUUAUUUGAGAUGAAGGUCUUCAAAAUGGAUGCCUUGACAACGAAAGCUUAAUGUCAAGCACUGACAUUACAAUAAAAAAAAGCUAAUGGUCAGACAUUCACACUACACAUCUAUUGUAAGACACUUCCUAACUUCAGAGCUGUGAAAGCAUUACAGAAAACGUGUUUUGGAACUAAAGAAAUGCAAGAUUUUAUCACUGGCUGAGUGCUUUACACAACACUUAUGUAAUCAUCGCAAAUCAGUAUUACCACUUUUCAUCUCUGUUUUGCAGAUGAGGGAUUUUGAAGCUCAUGGAGACAUAUAACUUGCCCUUGGUCAUAAAACUGGCAGAUUAAGGAACUGAGAUUUUAACACACUCUGCCUGAUAGAAAAACCCAAGCUCCUUGCCACUGUGCUAACCUUGCACGGGGGACAGGAAUGAGGGAGUCCAAGGCUGCUUUAAAGCUAGUGUGGCUCUCCAAAAUCACUUUGACAUUAUUUUUGUUCCAAAUUAUUUGCUUGCUCUCAAAGCAAACUUCAUUGUAUGAUUUAGAGUAAGUAUUCACUAUACACUUGUAUAUACUAUACACUUCCGAGUAUUGAAUGUCCAUAAUAUGACAAAGUUAUGUUAUGGGAAAAUACAUCUGUUGAGAAAAAAUUUGUAAUGGGGACUUUCAUAACGAUGCAUGCAAAAGUCCAGAUGGUUUGGAUAACUUCAGGGUCCAAAAGUGUUAUCCAUUACUGCUAUAUUAAAAUAUAUUAAAUACCACUUAAAAGGUAUUACUUGCCAGUCAACAAAUAACAGACUGUUUUGUGAUCAUCCUUAUUUCAAGGAUAUUUUUUUCUGUUUUUCAAACUUAUUUUCAUACUUAUUUUCAAAUACAUAUUCAAAUUCUUAAUAGCUAUUAUACCAAAGGUAUUGAGCGUAGAUUCUCAUGCUUAAGAGGGAGUGAGUUGGGUAAAAGCGAAGAGCAGAAUGAAAGGGAGAGCCAUAUUCACCUGUUGGAGCAUAUCCAUUUCUAGUAGGCCAGGUCCAGGUGUGGUGCAAGAAACUUCUGUUCUUGGACUCAGUACUAAAGAAAAGAGGUGUUAGCUGCUCUCUAACACAAAUCUUGGCAUUGAGAAUCACAUGCUCUCUCCAGCCACAUCCCCACCCACCAGCAGAAUCGAGGAAUGUAACUGCAAACAAGUAACAUUUUAUAGUAAUACCAAGGCCCCUUUUUAUCAUCUUUCACAUCUUCCUUAGGGUUCAAGUAAAUAGGGUCUGUUCUGGGGUUUGCA